rnacentral:rRNA from 1 species
UACGUAGGGUGCAAGCGUUGUCCGGAAUUAUUGGGCGUAAAGAGCUCUAGAGCGGUUUGUCGCGUCUGCCGUGAAAGUCCGGGGCUCAACUCCGGAUCUGCGGUGGGUACGGGCAGACUAGAGUGAUGUAGGGGAGACUGGAAUUCCUGGUGUAGCGGUGAAAUGCGCAGAUAUCCGGAGGAACACCAGGGCGAAAGCGGUCGACUGGCUGAGUGCUGACGCUGAGGCGCGAAGGCGUGGGGAGCAAACCGG